UCUAGCUCGGGCGGUGUGCUAUACAUGCAAGUCGUACGCACUGGCCCAACUGAUUGAUGGUGCUUGCACCUGAUUGACGAUGGAUCACCAGUGAGUGGCGGACGGGUGAGUAACACGUAGGUAACCUGCCCUGGAGCGGGGGAUAACAUUUGGAAACAGAUGCUAAUACCGCAUAACAACAAAAGCCACAUGGCUUUUGUUUGAAAGAUGGCUUUGGCUAUCACUCUGGGAUGGACCUGCGGUGCAUUAGCUAGUUGGUAAGGUAACGGCUUACCAAGGCGAUGAUGCAUAGCCGAGUUGAGAGACUGAUCGGCCACAAUGGAACUGAGACACGGUCCAUACUCCUACGGGAGGCAGCAGUAGGGAAUCUUCCACAAUGGGCGCAAGCCUGAUGGAGCAACACCGCGUGAGUGAAGAAGGGUUUCGGCUCGUAAAGCUCUGUUGUUGGAGAAGAACGUGCGUGAGAGUAACUGUUCACGCAGUGACGGUAUCCAACCAGAAAGUCACGGCUAACUACGUGCCAGCAGCCGCGGUAAUACGUAGGUGGCAAGCGUUAUCCGGAUUUAUUGGGCGUAAAGCGAGCGCAGGCGGUUGCUUAGGUCUGAUGUGAAAGCCUUCGGCUUAACCGAAGAAGUGCAUCGGAAACCGGGCGACUUGAGUGCAGAAGAGGACAGUGGAACUCCAUGUGUAGCGGUGGAAUGCGUAGAUAUAUGGAAGAACACCAGUGGCGAAGGCGGCUGUCUGGUCUGCAACUGACGCUGAGGCUCGAAAGCAUGGGUAGCGAACAGGAUUAGAUACCCUGGUAGUCCAUGCCGUAAACGAUGAGUGCUAGGUGUUGGAGGGUUUCCGCCCUUCAGUGCCGGAGCUAACGCAUUAAGCACUCCGCCUGGGGAGUACGACCGCAAGGUUGAAACUCAAAGGAAUUGACGGGGGCCCGCACAAGCGGUG
rnacentral:rRNA from 1 species